UGAGGAAUAUUGGUCAAUGGCCGGGAGGCUGAACCAGCCAAGUCGCGUGAGGGAAGACGGCCCUACGGGUUGUAAACCUCUUUUGUCAGGGAGCAAGAGGCGGGUCGGGACCUGCUGUGAGAGUACCUGAAGAAAAAGCAUCGGCUAACUCCGUGCCAGCAGCCGCGGUAAUACGGAGGAUGCGAGCGUUAUCCGGAUUUAUUGGGUUUAAAGGGUGCGCAGGCGGAGGCACAAGUCAGCGGUAAAAUCGCGGGGCUCAACCCCGCUCCGCCGUUGAAACUGUGUCCCUUGAGUGCGCGAAGGGUAGGCGGAAUGCGUGGUGUAGCGGUGAAAUGCAUAGAUAUCACGCAGAACUCCGAUCGCGAAGGCAGCCUACCGGCGCGCAACUGACGCUCAUGCACGAAAGCGUGGGUAUCGAACA
rnacentral:rRNA from 1 species